rnacentral:rRNA from 1 species
UAGACUAGUCAUAUCAAUAAGGAACUCCUUCUUUUCCGGGAGCCCAUUCAAACAGAACUCCCAGGUUAAGCCUGCUAGGCUUGGAGUAGUUCUAGGAUGGGUGACCGACUGAGAAGUUGAUCCCGGGUGUGG